rnacentral:lncRNA from 1 species
CCCGCCCCCUUACUCAGAAUGCAGGCUCGCGCGCUGCCCCACAUGCCCGUUCUCUUCGGGAGCUGAGCUGAGGCUGCGCGUGGCGCGCGAUGAGCCGUUGAAGCGGGUUCGAACGGUUCUCUUCGGCUCAUAAGGAGCUCGUGUAGGGAACGUGUGAUUUGGGGUCGUCGCGUGCGGUGCUGAGUGCAGCUUGCGCCGCCGGUACGUAUCCCGGCUCGUGCAGAAAACGGGUGGGGGUUGUGGGGGUUGUGGGUGAUGAAAGCGGCGAUGAUGUAAACACUGAGCGCGCGAACUGCUCGUCUGCUUUUUGUAAUUACCGCUCGGUAACGGGUCGCAGGGACCGCGAUUAACACUCCGUCCGCUAUUGUUUAUCUCUGGUCAGAUCAAAGAACAGCGUGCGGGAGGAGGAUGCAGGCUCACGCGCUGCUCCAGCUCUGCUGCUCGUUCCUGCUGUCUCUCCUCGGUCUGGGCGGGACUGAAGGGCACACCACGGGCAGACCUGAAGCUCCGUCAGCUGGUACCGGCAUCAAGGAGGGAGUGCAGUCUGACGGGGGUCUGCAGUCAGUGCUGAAGGACUCGGUCUCGCCAGCUUUCAGUGCCACAGUCAUCAUCAUCGUCACGGUCAUCGUGUCUGGCAGCGCCUACCUCUGUUUCCUGAAGUAUGUGUGUGCUGGUUGCUGCAAACCUACACAGGUGGCACCCGCCACCCACAUAAACCCCAACAAAAGUGAGGAGCAGGUGUGAGGACAGGUAGUGCCUGUGGUCCAGAGACUACGUGCGGUUCGGAACGGAUUAUUACCUCCAGGAUUAUUAUUCAGAGUGCCUGAUCAGUGGGGUUACAUGUGACGUGAAGACUGAAGAGAUACCCGUAUUGUAAUCUAGGAGGACAUUUCAUGCCCAAGUGAUAUAUCUUUUGAUAAUGUUUCAUAUAUUUAUACUUUAUAAUAAUUAAUUAAGUAAUAGCAUGAUUAAAAAGUGUGUAAACACAUUAAACAACACAAUUACAUCUUUAACCUAAGGCUUGAUAUUGGCAAGGCCUUGGCGAUAUGAUGUGUAUCACAAUACAAGGAUUGCAAUUCAAUAUAAUAUUCUUAGCAAUUUUUUUGGAAAAACCCACAUAGCAUAAAACACCAUUAUAUAUACAGCUCUGGACAAAAAUAAGAGACCACUUAAAAAUCAUGAGUUUCUUUGAUUUUACUAAAUUGAAAAGCUCUGGAAUAUAAUCAAGAGGAAGAUGGAUGAUCAUCAAAACCAUUUUAUCCAAUCCGAAAAGUAGGAUCUAAUGACAGAGUAGACAGAGUACAUGCCACAAAUUUUUACAUGUAAACUAAUUAUUAAAAAUUGAUACUGUGAUAAUAUUAUACUGUAUUGUAUAAUAAUGUUCUUACACUUCUACCUUAACCCUGAACACAGUGGCCACUGUUAUUCCACUCUGCGUUUCAGAGUUAAAGCCCCAUAUGACUGUAAUGAACUGAGAUAAUCAGCAUCUAAAUUAUGCUGGCUAAAACAGCAAGGAUGAUCUUAAAAUAGAGUCGGAUGUUUCCAUAUACUCAACAUUGACAUGGCAACAUUUUUUGUAUUGUAUUGUAGAAUUUCUACGGUCAUUUUCUGGAGCAGAAUGAGUUUUAACAUACAUUUUUUAGACGUUUUCUAUUAAAACGUGUUAAAAGGUAAAAAAAAGUAGACAUACAGCACACUUUAUAUUUGAUAAAAAUAUCAAAUAUAUCAAUAUAUCAAGUUGCAACCAAAUGAAUUUGGAAGCCUUCAAGUCAAAUCUAGAGGCAUUUAUUGUCAUUCAAUCAUUUGACAGAUCAACAAUCCAGCCGCACACUUGUAGGUUGCUGAAUCUGGCAUCCCACACAUAGUAUCUUGCUCUCUCAGCCUUAAACACUGAGGCACUGUAAAUCAGUGACUCAGUGCAUACAAUGUAAAUCUGAAGAGAAGGCAGCAGCCUGUGGAGAAUGAUUACACACUGAUUGUCAUGUCCUGGCCUUGUCUCAUGUCUCUGUGUGUGUCCCACGUGACCUGUGCCCCUUUGUUCUGUUUCAGUACUUUUCCACCUGUGUCAAUUUGUAGCUCCGCCCCCUAGCCCCAGGUGUUUCCACUUUCCUUGUGUGCUAUAAAGCCUUCCUUUGUCUCUUGCCCUUCGUCGGUCUUUGCACUUACCCCUGUUGUUCGUCUCUCUCUGUGUUCUAUAGCCAUCUCUGUAUUUCAUAGCCUUAGCUCUUGUCCUUUGUUUAUCUUCUUGUUUAUUUCUAGUUCCCUGUUUAUUUCCAUUGUUUUCUCCCUUACCCUGCUCAGUUUAGUUUUCCUAGUCUUGUUUAGCUUCUUGUUUAUUUUCCUUGUGUAUAUUUAUCCCUGCCCAGUUUAGUUUUGUAUUUAUUCAGUCCCUUGUUUGUUUCUUUGUUUAUUUACUUCCUGUUUGUUUAUCAUUAGUACUUCUUGUUUUGUUUAGUUUAUGUUCUCUAGUUUCACUGGUUUGUUUUGGUUUUUGGUUAUUCGUUUAUCUUUGUUACGUGUUUACUUGUUACUUGUUUCUUUGUUUACUUGUUAUUUAUUUAUUUAAUUAUUAUGUAUUUCACCCUACCUGCACUUGCGUCCGUCUCCUCGUCUCCCUGCAUGGGUCACCCCCCCCCCCCCGUGACACUGAUGGUGAGUGCGAGGUGGAAGGGCAUGUCGAAUAUGCAAAUAGAUAUUUCCAGGAGCCAAUGGGAACAUUUCCACAAAAUGGCUGUAGUGCACAUAAAACUGUCUGACCAACAUCAGGUGAAAAACCCUGCAGAAUUGCAGGUUCCUGUAAAAAGUCUUAACGAGUGUGUGCAGGGUGAUUAGCUUGGCCUCAAUUCGGAUUCUACUACAAUUAGUAAAAUUUGCCAACACAGAUUAUUUAUUCUGACCAACUUUAAACAAGAAACGUAUUCAUUUUAGUUGAUAGUUUGCUAAAGUUUACAUUUCAGUUUGAUAUUUUUGCUCAGCUUACUUAAAAAUCACAUAAGUCACUGGAUAUCUACGACAGUGUUUUAGGGCCACUCUUAAAAAAAUAACGCAAUAUUACAAGAGUAAAGUCAUAAUAUUUUGACGGAAACGUAGGCUAACUGCCUAAGCUGUAGUUCAAGAAGCAUAGAGGGAAAAGAGCAUUUCAGUUCAUGAUCUGUUAUCUGCUGUGAUCACCACCAGUUAUCUACUUUUCUAAUGCGUGAUGCUCUAAUGUUACAGUAGGUAAUACAGUGUCCUGAUUUUUCUGUGGUGGCACACAAGCACACACGUCAUCUUGCAUAUUCAUGACUAAAAUUUACUGUAUUUAUGUUCCUUUGGUCGCAAUAACCAAACUAAAAGCUAGCAGAACACCUCCACUAAGCAGCAUGAACCCCUAAACGGGGGAGCCAAAAGCUAGGCUUUUUUUUUUUGUAACAAUAGAGCAUUAAUAAUUAGCAGAUUCAAAAUGUUGCUAACUGGUGGAAAUCACAGCAGCCUGCUGUGUAACUGUGUAACUAUUUUUACAUAAUCAAAACAAAGGUAUUUAUUUUUAUUCUUUUGUUUCCAUUUAUGAACAACAGUAUAAUUAGCACAAAACAUGGGACAGUGACAUUACAAUUUGAAUGCUAUGCGUUCUGUUGUGCUGUGUGCAACUGUGCAAUAAAAACGUUUAAAAGUAACA